GUUCUAACGUUGGCCCCUGACCGGGGUUGCGGACAGUGUCUGGUGGGUAGUUUGACUGGGGCGGUCUCCUCCCAAAGCGUAACGGAGGAGCACGAAGGUUAGCUAAUCCUGGUCGGACAUCAGGAGGUUAGUGCAAUGGCAUAAGCUAGCUUGACUGCGAGCGUGACGGCGCGAGCAGGUGCGAAAGCAGGUCAUAGUGAUCCGGUGGUUCUGAAUGGAAGGGCCAUCGCUCAACGGAUAAAAGGUACUCCGGGGAUAACAGGCUGAUACCGCCCAAGAGUUCAUAUCGACGGCGGUGUUUGGCACCUCGAUGUCGGCUCAUCACAUCCUGGGGCUGAAGUAGGUCCCAAGGGUAUGGCUGUUCGCCAUUUAAAGUGGUACGCGAGCUGGGUUUAGAACGUCGUGAGACAGUUCGGUCCCUAUCUGCCGUGGGCGCUGGAGAAUUGAGGGGGGCUGCUCCUAGUACGAGAGGACCGGAGUGGACGCAUCACUGGUGUUCGGGUUGUCAUGCCAAUGGCACUGCCCGGUAGCUAAAUGCGGAAGAGAUAAGUGCUGAAAGCAUCUAAGCACGAAACUUGCCCCG
rnacentral:rRNA from 1 species